rnacentral:rRNA from 1 species
GAUGAACGCUGGCGGCGUGCCUAAUACAUGCAAGUCGAGCGAAUGGAUUAAGAGCUUGCUCUUAUGAAGUUAGCGGCGGACGGGUGAGUAACACGUGGGUAACCUGCCCAUAAGACUGGGAUAACUCCGGGAAACCGGGGCUAAUACCGGAUAACAUUUUGAACCGCAUGGUUCGAAAUUGAAAGGCGGCUUCGGCUGUCACUUAUGGAUGGACCCGCGUCGCAUUAGCUAGUUGGUGAGGUAACGGCUCACCAAAGCAACGCUCAGUAGCCGAGCCGAAAGGAUGAUCAGCGACACGAGUGCAGAGACUUGUCCCAGAACCCUACCGGCAGUAGCAGGAGGGAAUGGUCCGGCAUGGCCGAUAGUAUGACGGAUCAACGCUGCGGUAGGGGUGAAGGCUUUCUGUUCGUAGAACGCUGUUGAUAGAGAAGAACAAGUGCUAAUUGAAUAAGCCGGCACCUUGACGGUACCUAACCAGAAAGCCACGGCUAACUACGUGCCAGCCGCCGCCGUAA